AUUGAACGCUGGCGGCAGGCUUAACACAUGCAAGUCGAGCGAGCGGCGGACGGGUGAGUAAUGUCUGGGAACCUGCCUGAUGGAGGGGGAUAACUACUGGAAACGGUAGCUAAUACCGCAUACCAUCAGAUCUGCCCAGAUGGGAUUAGCUAGUAGGUGGGGUAAUGGCUCACCUAGGCGACGAUCCCUAGCUGGUUUGAGAGGAGGACCAGCCACACUGGAACGGAGACACGGCCCAGACUCCUACGGGAGGCAGCAGUGGGGAAUAUUGCACAAUGGGCGCAAUCCUGAUGCAGCCAUGCCGCGUGUGUGAAGAAGGCCUUCGGGUUGUAAAGCACUUUCGGCGGGGAAGCGUUACUCGCAGAAGAAGCACCGGCUAACUCCGUGCCAGCAGCCGCGGUAAUUC
rnacentral:rRNA from 1 species